AGUAAAAUGCCUGAAUAAAGGGUUAUUUUGAUAGAAUAAAUUAUGUAAGUAAUUACUUUUACUA
rnacentral:tRNA from 1 species